rnacentral:lncRNA from 1 species
UGGUGUAGUAAGCAUGGUGGGCGGAGCUGAAGAUGGGAGGGGUAACUGGUGGGAGGGCAGCAUGGUCAUUUUGCUACAACAUUUAUUACUUUUAGACAGUUUUAGUCACUGGAACCAAACAGCCUUUAGGAGGUGGAUUAAAAUGGGACUAAAACUUUUUAGUCACUAAAAUUUUAGGAGGUGGGAACCAAACAGGACCUGACAUUGUAAACUUGAUCAAAUUUAAGGGUGUGUAUGUGCGAGGAAGCGGGAGGAGGGGAGAUGUGGGCAAAGAAGGAGCAAGGGUAUGGGGAGGGUAGUAUGGUUAUUUUACAAUAAUAUUUAUUGCUUUUAGUUAGUUUUAGGAGGUGGAACUAAACAUGCUUUAGACUAUGGACUAAAAACUAACUAAAUAUUUUAGGAACUAAAAUUUUAGAAUUUUAGAAGGUGGGAAGGCCUUAGGCCUUAGGAUUAUCUUUGCGGGCCAUGAAAAAUGAGAGGGACCGUGCACACGUGUCGAGGUGGAUUUCGCCCGCACGAGGCGGCGGAGGUGGGUGUUAAUGGAGGGAGGAUUUGCAGGCGUGAAUAAAUGCUUGAUGCAGUACAUCCGGUUUGCAAUUGGAGUACUUAAUUGCCGCAAUGACUAACAGCCACAGAAAAGUACAGAAUUACAUGUGGUUGGAUCUCUCUCGUCAAGUAAUUAGCCUAGGCGCCCCCCCCCC